rnacentral:lncRNA from 1 species
GGAGGGUGAGGGCUCCAGCAUGGCAGGCUGCAGGUCCCGAGCCCUGCCCCCUUGCCCCGCGGGGAGGUGGCUGAGGCCCAGCGAAAAUUCGAGCGCGGCGCCGGCGGGCCAUCACUGUUGGAGGACCCAGUGCACCCUCCGCAGCUGCUGGCCCGGGUGCUAAGCCUCUCACUGCCCAGGGCCGGCGGCGCCAGCCGACCGCUCAACAGUGCGGGGCGCGCCGAGCCCGCGCCCACCCGGAAGUCGCGCUGAGCCCGCGCCCACCCGGAAGUCGCGCUGGACCUGCGAGCACCGCAGGCAGCCCAGGUUCCGGCCCGCGCCUCUCCCUCCACACCUCCCCGCCAGCAGAGGGAGCCCGCUCAGGCCUCAGCCAGCACAGAGAGGGGCUCCCACGGUGCAGCUGCGGGCUGAAGGGCUCCUCAAGCGCGGCCAGAGUGGGCUGAGGCCGAGGAGGCGCCGAGAGCCAGCGAGGGAUGCCAGCAAGCUGUCACCUCUCAGAAAUACAGGAAGAACAUCAAUAAUGUUCGAAGUUAUAAAGUAUUGCGGAGGUCAGAGGUCAGAAAACAAGGUGUCUGCAGGACCAACCUCUCCUCUGGAUGCUCUAGGAAACGAGUAGAAUUAAGUGAAUUGAUUAUCAUAUCUAACCUAAUGAAUUGGGAGAUAGCCGUGGGCAUUAAAACUGUUUCAAGAAGUGCAACUUAGCGUUCAGGGCUGACCUCAUGAGCUUCCAGAGACAUCAGAGUGUUGAAAUUUCCAGGAUGCAAAACGAAGGGGCAAUUCAAAACAUUCAUCUCCACUUCUCAAAAUAAGCGGGCGAUGGACAUUAGAAUGCAAGAGAUGGAUGAGGUAUGGAAGUAGAAGGAAUAAAUGUCAACUAUUAUUUUAAAACAUUUGCACAGAAAGCAAAGUAGGAUAAGAGCUUAAAAAUAAAGGUUCUGUUUAUUUUCAUUUUGUAGUCGUAGGGAAAAUGUGGGCAUGUUAAAAGAAAAGCUGAGUGUAAAAAGGGAAUGAGAGGACAAAUUGAAAUAGACAUGGGUUCAAAUCCCAGAUCCCACUGGACAUCUCUGAGGCUUACUAGACAUCAUCUGUAAAUAUAAGAUAAACACCUAAUAUAAAAUGUGUUCAGCUAUAAGAAGUUUGAGUUAGUGUAUAUGAUUUUUAGAAAAUCAAUUUAUCAUAUACAAUAAAACAUAUAUUAAAUUAGACAGUUUGAUGCAUAUUGACAAUUGUAUAUCCCCUGCACAUUUCCAUCAUAUAUGAAAACUUCUCACAUGCCCUCACCAUCUCAAUCCCUGAUCACAGGCAACCACUGAUGGAGGUUCUGUCAUUAUGUACAGGAUAUAUCUUUUCUAAAUUUUGUAUAAGUGACAUCAUACAUGUGCAUUAUUUUGUUUCUGUCUUCUUUAUCUCAGCAUCUUGUUUUUUGAAAUUUGUUCUUAUUGAGUACAUCAGUGGUCAGCUCCUUAUUAUUGCUUAGUGUAUUUCAUUUUAAAAGUAUAAUUAUUACAUAUUGUGUGGAAAGAUUUAAACAUUCAGAAAAUAUAAAACUCAGUGCAACUAUUUUUUCCUACUCUUCAUGUAUUAUAAUUCAGUCUUUUUGAUAAUUUUAUAUAUAUAGAAGGUAUGAUAUUUAUAUUACAUUUAAAAUUUAGUACAACUUUUAUUAAAGUGUACAUAUUAUUUAUACAAUGCUUUUUUCUUUUCUAUAUCUAUACAGCUUACCCAUUUUUGAGAAGGCUGCAUUUUUUUCUAUAACAUGUAUAUGUUGUACUUUACUUGUCUAUAUCCCCAUUAAGAGAUAUGUUGCUUCCAGGUUUCAUUAUUA